rnacentral:rRNA from 1 species
UUCUAGUGAUUGGAAUGAUGGGAAUCCAAACCCCUUUCAGAGUAACAAUUGGAGGGCAAGUCUGGUGCCAGCAGCCGCGGUAAUUCCAGCUCCAAUAGCGUAUAUUAAAGUUGUUGCAGUUAAAAAGCUCGUAGUUGGAUAUCUGCUGGGAGCAAUCGGUCCGCCCUUUUACAGGGGUGUGCACUUGAUGAAUUCUGACAUGUUCUUAUCUAUUUCCUAAUGAUAAUGAUUAUUAUUAGGUUAAUUCCUAAUAAUGAUUAUUAUUGGGUUAGAUAAACCGUUACUUUGAGAAAAUUAGAGUGUUUAAUGCAGGCUGUUUUAUGCCUUGAAUACUGCAGCAUGGAAUAACAAUAUAGGAUUUCGGUUCUAUUUUGUCGGUUUUUAGGGCUGGAAUAAUGGUUAAUAGGGACAGUUGGGGGCAUUCGUAUUUAACUGUCAGAGGUGACAUUCUUAGAUUUGUUAAAGACGAACUAAUGCGAAAGCAUUUGCCAAAGAUGUUUUCAUUAGUCAAGAACGAAAGUUAGGGGAUCGAAGACGAUCAGAUACCGUCGUAGUCUUAACCAUAAACUAUGCCGACUAGAGAUAGGAAAAUGUCAUUACUGACUUCUCCUGCACCUUAUGAGAAAUCAAAGUCUUUGGGUUCUGGGGGGAGUAUGGUCGCAGGGCUGAAACUUAAAGGAAUUGACGGAAGGGCACCACCAGGCGUGGAGCCUGUGGCUUAAUUUGACUCAACACGGGGAAACUCACCAGGUUCAGACAUGAGAAAAAUUGACAGAUUGAUAGCUCUUUCUUGAUUCCAUAGGUGGUGGUGCAUGGCCGUUCUUAGUUGGUGGAGUGAUUUGUCUGGUAAAUUCCCUUAACGAGCGAGACCUUAACCUGCUAAUAGGAUCAGGAACACAAACAUUCGCAUCUUAAUGAUGUGAUGUAUGUGUUUUUGUAUCACUUCUUGGAGGGACUUUGCGUGUGUAACGCAAGGAAGUUUGAGGCAAUAACAGGU